UACGUAGGUAGCGAGCGUUAUUCGGAUUCACUGGGCGUAAAGGGUCCGCAGGAGGCCUGUCAAGCCGGACGUGAAAGCCCAAGGCUCAACCUUGGAAUGGCGUCCGGGACUGCCGGGCUAGAGUGCACGAGGGGAAAGCAGAAUUCCUGGUGUAGCGGUGGAAUGCGUAGAUAUCAGGAGGAAUACCGAUGGCGAAGGCGGCUUUCUGGCGUGCAACUGACUCUCAGGGACGAAAGUGUGGGGAG
rnacentral:rRNA from 1 species